rnacentral:tRNA from 1 species
GGAGGAUUGGGUGAGUGGUUUAAACCAGCGGUUUACUAAACCGCCGCUCCGCAAGGGGCCAUGAGUUCGAAUCUCAUAUCCUCCG